rnacentral:rRNA from 1 species
AUACGUAGGGGGCUAGCGUUAUCCGGAUUUACUGGGCGUAAAGGGUGCGUAGGUGGUUUCUUAAGUCAGGAGUGAAAGGCUACGGCUCAACCGUAGUAAGCCUUUGAAACUGGGAAACUUGAGUGCAGGAGAGGAGAGUGGAAUUCCUAGUGUAGCGGUGAAAUGCGUAGAUAUUAGGAGGAACACCAGUGGCGAAGGCGGCUUUCUGGACGGUAACUGACGCUGAGGCGCGAAAGCGUGGGGAGC